AACGUAGGUGGCGAGCGUUAUCCAGAAUUACUGGGCGUAAAGCGUGCGUAGGUGGUUCGUUAAGUCUGUCGUGAAAGCCCCGGGCUCAACCUGGGAAUGGCGAUGGAUACUGGCGGGCUAGAGUGCGGUAGAGGAGAGUGGAAUUCCCGGUGUAGCAGUGAAAUGCGUAGAGAUCGGGAGGAACAUCAGUUGCGAAGGCGGCUCUCUGGACCAGCACUGACACUGAGGCACGAAAGCUAGGGGAGCAAACAGG
rnacentral:rRNA from 1 species